rnacentral:rRNA from 1 species
GACGAACGCUGGCGGCGUGCUUAACACAUGCAAGUCGAACGGUAAGGCCCCUUCGGGGGUACACGAGUGGCGAACGGGUGAGUAACACGUGAGCAACCUGCCCUUGACUCUGGAAUAACAGUUGGAAACAGCUGCUAAUACCGGGUAUGACCUGUCAUCGCAUGGUGGUGGGUGGAAAGUUCUGGCGGUCAGGGAUGGGCUCGCGGCCUAUCAGCUAGUUGGUGAGGUAAUGGCUCACCAAGGCUUCGACGGGUAGCCGGCCUGAGAGGCGACCGGCCACACUGGGACUGAGAUACGGCCCAGACUCCUACGGGAGCAGCAGUGGGGAAUAUUGCACAAUGGGCGAAAGCCUGAUGCAGCAACGCCGCGUGCGGGAUGACGGCCUGGUUGUAACG